rnacentral:sRNA from 1 species
UCGGUUCGUCCGAGAAGCCUUAAAACCGUGACGACACAUUCACCUUGAACCAAGGGUUCAAGGGUUACAGCCUGCGGCGGCAUCUCGGAGAUUCC